GUGGAGCCCCAGGUGAAGUGCUUGGCACAUUAGGAGGCUGUGGGAGCCGUUGGUCCUGACCUGACGAUUCUGCUGUUUCAUCAGUUAAUGCAAAAACUCUGGGUCCAGGCAUUUUGUCAUAGCCCUGACGGCUGUGAAGCGCCUCCCAAGUUGUAUGAGGGUGAUUUUCCAUGAUGGAAACCAUUAUGAACCAUGGCUUCUCCGUAGCAGGCUUUAUGGGCCCCUGGCGACUCUACUCAGGAUAAUAAAUAAGGCCACGAAACGCCAUUUCCAAAGGCCGGGACAGGCUGUGCUAACUUAUCUGUUUGAAUGGAAAUCUUAAGCCUUGUUAAGUCAAACUGUCAUUGCUCAUUACCCAUAAAUUAAGAGGCCGGGGGGACCAUUGCACACAGGUAUUUAUCAGAAAACACUCGUGAAUCGUCUGUAUCCCAGAGACACGUAAGCCUGGAGGAGCAGAACGUGCUUAUUAAAUCACAUCUUUGAGUCCAGUUGCACAGAAGAUGGGAAAACUAGCCCCCACUUCUGCCAGGCUUCCUAGCCCCAGAAGAAACAGCCUAUGACAAGUAGGUCCUGAGUCCCGGCUCCCUCCAGGACCAGGUGGAGCCUGGACUUCUGUCCUCUGUUGGGCAUUUCCAACUCCUAGUGCCCAUGUCUACCUACAAAGUGUGACUGCCUGGGUUUGGGCCUAGAAUGUCCUUCACUCUCAUUGAUGGGGUCUACCCUACUGCCUUUACCCAUAGCAGAGAUGCCUCAUGAACACCAGUUUUGGAAGGAUGCUGUUUGGCAGAGGAAUCUCCCAGAUGCCAAUAAACCUUCACCUAACUCAUUCACCAACAGACGGGCUGCUCUUGGUGAUUACCUUGGCCUCUGAGGCCUGUGGAGACUCAGACACCUCCCAUUCUACAGGACAGGACAUGGUUGCCUCCUAUACACAUUUCCCUAUACCAUCUUGGUGCUAAUCCCACCCAGAAGUGAGAACAUCAUCAGCUCAGCUGCCUGACCCUAGGCCCAGGUCUACAAGGGCAAAAAGAGGGUACCAUGAACCAAGCUACAUCUGAUGAGGGGCUGUGGGACAGACCACUUGGAUUCUGAACCCAAGUCUUGUACUUGGAGAUGCAUGCCUGUGAAGUAAUCGCCACACCUUCUAGGGUCUGACUUUUCUCUCUGGUCAGGUGGGGUGGACACCAAAACCAAGGUCAAGAGGUAGCAUCAGUGAGGCAACUUUAGUGAACAGCUAGCACUGUCUUUCCCCAAGAUCAGCCAACAUGGAGAGACUUCAUCCACAGACCACCUUUGAACCUUGACUAAAACCUCUUACUUUCUCGGUUUGGGUUCCUAGAUAUUCAUCUUACCUGGGGAAGACAGCUUAUGGGAAGUUGCCGUGCUUCACACACAUUUGCUCCUGGCUUGACCCUGCAAUAGUGUCAACAUUUAAUUAAAUGGAAGUUGUUGACUGUUUAAGCAUCAUGAGCAUCCCUUGAAUUAAUUUAUCAUGGAAGAAAGAAGAGUGUAAGGGUGAAGAACCUGCUGGAUCUGCAGAGUAUGGUAUUUUAGCUGGGUAUAGAAUGGCAGCCCUACUGAUUUUCUUGCAGAGCUGGGAAGACGGUGCCUUCCUCUCACAGCUACUCCAUGGCCACUCAUCCUGGUAUGUUAUAAUAUCCCAGGUAUUCCCAUAUGCCCCAGAACCUGUGCACUAUUCAUCUGAAUGUUCCCAUUCAGUAGCAUCACUGGGUUGCCUCUUUGGUACUAGAAGUUACAAUUGGACUAAUGGAUUUUCACCUGAUAUCUCUGAUUUUUUUCUUUCUCCAGUAGUUGCCAUUCUUGAAAGUCCCACAGGGAAGUUGUCAAUUGGCACAGUGGCAUAUGUGAGUGAUUAACUGCUAUGUGGACCAGAGUGCUCAGGGCCCUUGGUGUUCUGAACCGUGAUUGCCAGGUCCUGAAAUGUCUGCAAGGGGUCAUCACUUUAUCAUUCCACCCCUUAGUUAGGUCCUGCAUACUGAGAUUCGUAUCCUCUACAGAAGUUCCAGUGAGAAUCACAGGGUUCUUCCCUUUUCCUUUAUUCCUGGCCCCUCAGUUUCCUUGCUAAUACAAUGCCUCCUACCCUCUGAUCCCCCACGCAUUUCUAGGGCCCUCUUUGAAAGGCUCAGGUCUUGCUGGAAUCAGUUUGCCUGCCCUGGUGCUCAGCCCCUGACUGUCUCUUUUAUUUCCAGAUGAGAGAAACUCAGGAAGAUGCCAAGCCAGGUUGCUCAGGAUCCACUGUCCCUGCAGCAGGGAGAACAGCCCAGUGAUGAGUGGCACAGCCAAUACCUAUUACUACUGGAUUGAGAAGGCUUUAUGUUCUGGAGACUAUCCACUUUCUUCCAGGAACCUGGGAUACACAAGACCCCAUUUCCUGACUGCCACAGGCCGAGGGACCCCAGUGGUCAUCAUAUGUUCAGGCUGUGGCAGCUGUCUGCCCAAACUCAGGCCACUGGCCACCUCAGGAGUGUCCAUCUGCCCCUGUGGACGUCCUUCCCCUGUGCUGAGACGCUUUGUGCCAGCAGGGCCAGAGAAGGACCAGCUCAGCCCAUACUCUGGAAAUGACACAUCGGGGCCGGGAGAAGCAGCUGCUGGUGACUUUGCACAAAUAAUGAACAGCCAGGGACAGAUGUGUGACACAAGCCAACUCUGCUUGCCCACCAGCCACCUGUGCUGUGAUUAGUGGGAGCCCAGGUGUGUGGCUUGGGCCUGAUGCCUGGCUCUUUGGAAUGUCCAUGGCCUGGGAGGGGUGGUCUCAGCCUGGGGCAGCCAUUGUUCUUGAAGCUAUUGCCCAGGAAGCCAAAUGGCUUUCUCCCAGAUCCUUGAAGGAGCAGCUGCCUGCAUUAUCUCUUCUUCACGGGGACUCCAUAACUGACUUCAGAUAAGCGUGGGACAAACCUCACUCCAUCAGUUUAGGCUUCUAUAGCAGAAUGCCUCAGACAGGUGACCUAGUGGCUUAACAUUAACUCUGGGGACUGGAAGUUCAAGGCCACAGUGCUGGCAGGGCUGGUUUCUGGCUUGCAGAUGUCUGAGUCCUUCUUGCUGUGUCCUCACAGGUAGUGUGUUAUGAAGCGGGGAGAGGGGAGGGUGUUCUUUGGGUCCCUCAUAAGACCACUAAUCCUUCCAGAUCAGAACUCAUACUUGUGGUCUAGCUUGAAUUCAAUUGCUUUCUUAAGGUCCUAUCUCUAAAUACGGGGGUCAGGAGUGUAAAUGGAGGUGGAGUUUUUCUGUCCCAACUACUCAGUCCCAAAUAAACACACAAAAGCUUAUAUAAUUACAGAAUGCUUGGCUGAUAGCUCAGACUUCUUACUAACUAGCUCUUACAUUUAAAUUAAUCCAUUUCUAUUAAUCUAUGUAUUGCUACGUGGCCUGUGGCUUUACCAGUCCUCUAGCAUCUUGCUUCUUGGGUGGCUCCCUGGCAUCUCUCUCUACUCUGCCCUUUUUCAUACGAAUCCACAGUUUGAUUGUUCCACCUAACCUUAUCCUGCCUUGCCAUAGACCAAAAAGCUUUAUUGUCAGCCAAUGAGAGUGAUACAUAUUCACAGCGUACAGAAGGAUCAUCCCAUAGCAAAGGGGCUUCAGCAUGCAUUUAUAGUGUGUCUCUAACAGUAAUGUGAAAAGAGCUGUCCUAGGAUCCUGGCUGAUGCACAGUCCACUUUGUUGGCAACUGAUAUGAAGACCCUGGGAUGGGAUGAGGCAAACAACAUAUCCCAUGGCAUUCUCUACUGUAUCGCUCUUAUAAGGCUCCUGUCUGCUCUGCUGGAUGUAGUUCAUCAUAGAACCCCUCUUGGUAUAUCAAGACUUCUAGGAAAUGGCCAUCAAUCCAGCUAGGAUACCCGCCUUCAUGUCUUCCAAACUAUCCCAGGCCCUCCAGACACACGGUCCUUGUAGUAACCCUGGGGCUCAGCCUUUACUGUGUGAGCUCUAUCCCGUGUCUUUGCCACCCAUUGCCUACGUUUUUACAGAAACAUCACUGCCUCCAGAGUCAGUUCUCUGGUCCUAGACAAAUGGGUAACUGUAGGAUUGCCUGUUCAAAAUCAAGAUGUCAAGGAACGGGGAGCAGAGCAUUGCCAGUUGUACCCUUCCUCUGCCGAGUCAUGGGCACAUACUGUCUCAAGGCAGUGAAACCCACUGAUCACCCAGCUGAAGGACUGUGUCUCAGCACACUCCACCCAAGCUCAUAUGUCUUUGCAGAGCUGUUUACUUGCCAGCUGUCACCCCUCACUGGGAGAAAUUGGGGAGAAAUUGUAGUGCACAUUUUCUGUGGAAUUGUACCUCUAGUUUAAGCAAAUCCGAAGUCCUCUUGCUUCAAUUUUUUUUUAAUAGUGAAGUGGAAAAGAAAGCUUAGGAAAAGGGAGGAAGCUUAGAAGUUGGAAAGGUUGUGGUAUGGGACCAGGGAUGGAGCUGAGUUGGGUGAGGGAUGUAGUCCCCUCUUUCCUGGGAUGGAAAGGUCCCUAUAGCUGUGUCUUGUGAAGGUGACAGAGAAGGACUCUAACAGAGUUGGCCAAUCCUAAGGCUCAACCACCAGCUCUUUGCACCUGCUGGGCCGUGGGGCCAAUCAGAGUGCGGCAGUGCUCCAGGAAGGGGCACAAAUGGAAAUGUGGUGGUUCUCCGUGUGCACAUCCUAGAUGUCCAAAGGAAAUGAACUCAAGCCCAUACUUGAAGCAGUGACCUCUGCAUGGGUGAGCAGUUAGUCCAUGCUAGACCCUUCCUGUAUGGGGAGAGGUAUGUCAGACAUGGAGGUCACAGAACAGGCAUGUAACAGAGGCGUAACCCUAUUCUUUGUCUGGCCUUUUGUGACCUUGACCCCAAAGGUUUUUGUGAUUUGUUUGUUUGUUUCUUUCUUUUUCAUGAAAGAUUCUAAGUGUCCUCCAGUCUCUGAUGUUGGAGUUGAAGUUGGGUAUGGAAUCCUGCAUAACUGAGUCUUCCAACAGUGCCCACGGGUGCUAGUGUCCAGCCUGACUACCUGUGUUUAUCACUCCCUCACUGCUGUGAUGAGGAGAAAUAGGUUGAAGAGUUUAUUUCAGCUCUUGGUUUCAGGGGUCUUAGGAGGCAGACACGAAAUGCCCAUUCUAGGCUGGCUUUCUCUUUCUUCUUUACUUUGCUCGGGUGAUGGUUGCUCAGCCCUGUAUUGGUGCUGCCUGUGUUCAGGGUAGGUCACCCCCCUUUGCCUAACCCUUUCUGGAAAAGCCCUCACCAUCUCCUAGGUGAUCCUAAGUCCCAUCGCGUUGAGCAUGACUGACCUUCUCAAAGACUUAGCUUUUACUUGGACCACAAGCCUUGUUUAUGGGUCUCUUGAGUGAAGCACCUAUAGUAAGAAUUGCCUCAGGAAGGAGGUUAGCAAGGUGAACGGGUCAUAGAAGAUUCUGGUAAUAAGAGUACUAACUCCAUUAUGGACCUCUUCCUCAGAGGCUUCUCAUAGCCUUCCUGUCUGCCAGGCCUGACCACCAAUCCUGGGUGGGAUUCCAAGGAAGAAGGGUGAUUUUCUUCUGUGUAGACUGUGACAUUCUUGUUCUGAUGAACACUGUGACCACCUCCUCACUGCCAGCUCUUCACUAGAACACUACCCUGCAGGCUCCAGGACUCAAGACAGAGACUUAGGCCUGCCAGCCUCAGAGCCCUGAGUCAGGCCAGUGUCUGUAGAUGAGAGGUGAUUGGGGGUCAUGGUCUCUAUAGAAUUGCUGACUUCCUGCCAGGCAAGCCUCACUCCUGACACUGAGUUCUCGUCCCACCCAAGCUGUCCCAUGGACAACCACUUCGAUAGAUCUAAUACAUGCGCUAUCAGUUUCUGACAGAGCAAAGAAUGAGACUUUCAUCCCUCAGGAAGGGGAAUGACGCUGUUUUGAAGAUGUUCUAACACCCUCAGUGACUACUUGCUGUUGGAGGCUGAUGAUAGAACACCCAGGAGAGGCAGUAUGUGGCCAGCCUCCAUGCAGAAUGUCUCUGAAUGGCACGAUACCUGCUCUUAGGGCUACCCACUGUGCCAGGCCCAGCUUUAGGGUGCAGCCAUUCCACUCAGUGAGGCCUGUGUGUUGGGAGCGGCACACU